rnacentral:misc_RNA from 1 species
AAUCUUCUUCAUUGCAGACUCGGUCGUAAGAGGACAUUUUAGAACCUGGUACUGAUCAAGUCUGUUCCUUCCAGGUGCACUAAUCCUGGGAUACUUGGGAUUUCUGUCCUUCUUCAAUGUCUUAGGCCGAUGAAAUGUAACUUUUGUUCGUAUUCUUUUUGACAUCUUCUUAAAGGUUGAUCCCGACUUCACAGCCUUGGCAGCCUUUACAGCUUGAGCUUUGGGGUCACCUUUUUUUAUCACAUCUUUAGCGGG